GCAUAUUGGCCUAGUGGUUAAGGUGCUGCAUUGCGAUCGCAAGGUCGUGGUUUCGAUUACCGCACUGGGCG
rnacentral:tRNA from 1 species